ensembl:snoRNA
AUACGAUGAUGGUUGCAUAGUUCAGCAGAUUGGCUGUGAAGAGAUGAACCAAUGUCUGAUGUAUCU